CAGCAGCCGCGGUAAUACGAAGGGGGCUAGCGUUGUUCGGAAUCACUGGGCGUAAAGGGUGCGUAGGCGGAUUCUUAAGUCAGGGGUGAAAUCCCGAGGCUCAACCUCGGAACUGCCUUUGAUACUGGGGAUCUUGAGUCCGGAAGAGGUGAGUGGAACUGCGAGUGUAGAGGUGAAAUUCGCAGAUAUUCGCAAGAACACCGGUGGCGAAGGCGGCUCACUGGUCCGGAACUGACGCUGAGGCACGACAGCGUGGGGAGCGAACAGGAUUAGAUACCCCCGUAGUCCCUGUCUCUUAUAC
rnacentral:rRNA from 1 species